AAAGGACCUCUAACACUAUCCGUUGUGUCUACUCAUUGGAUUCAGGAUGAAUGCCGCGGUGAUUAUUGCUUUCUGUCUUCUUGGAGCCGUUUCUUCUUUCCAAAAGAACUUCGGUGGUUAUGGCCAUGGGCAAGGAGUGUAUGGGGGCAGUGGCGGUUAUGGUCUGGGGGGUGGAGCAUUCGGCGCUGGUGGAGGUGUUGGUGUUGGAUUAGGUGCAGUUGGUUUCGGGCCUGGAUUUGGCUAUGGCGGUGGAGUAGUUGUUGGCUCUGCAAACGGACUUGUAACAGUUAGCGUGAAAGCUUUGGCUAGCUACUGCCCAUGUGCGAAGACGUGCAAGGGGUACCGCGGCGUUUGCCCAUUAUGCAAAGAAUUCUGCUGCAGUAAAUCACCGUUUUAAAAACAGCGUGCAAAUAAUUGAUGACGAUCCGGCAUUGGAACCAACGGACUUCAAAUACAAAUGUUAAUUACACGUGGCGUAGAAAACAUCAUUCAAAAGAUAAAUAUGUUAUUGUUUGAUUCUUUAACGCUGCGUCUAAUAAGUGCUCUCCAUUUAUUAAAAGUACAAUAUUCUUUGGCGUCUGUGCAAUUUCGAGCUUAAACCAAUGAGAAGGAAAACAUGUUUAUGCGCAGUCUCAAACAUGAUUUUCUUUUCAAAACGAUUACACUUGUGGAAAACCUAAUUUAAACAUAUUUUCAAUUUGUACAACGAUAUUUAUAUAGUCCAA